rnacentral:rRNA from 1 species
GACGAACGCUGGCGGCGUGCUUAACACAUGCCAGUCGAACGGAAAGGCCCUGCUUUUGUGGGGUGCUCGAGUGGCGAACGGGUGAGUAACACGUGAGUAACCUGCCCUUGACUUUGGGAUAACUUCAGGAAACUGGGGCUAAUACCGGAUAGGAUCUCCUGCUGCAUGGUGGGGGUUGGAAAGUUUCGGCGGUUGGGGAUGGACUCGCGGCUUAUCAGCUUGUUGGUGGGGUAGUGGCUUACCAAGGCUUUGACGGGUAGCCGGCCUGAGAGGGUGACCGGCCACAUUGGGACUGAGAGGCGGCCCAGACUCCUACGGGAGGCAGCAGGGGGGAAUAUUGCACAAUGGGCGGAAGCCUGAUGCAGCAACGCCGCGUGCGGGAUGACGGCCUUCGGGUUGGAAACCGCUUUCGCCUGUGACGAAGCGUGAGUGACGGAAAUGGGUAAAGAAGCACCGGCUAACUACGG